UACGGGGGGGGCAAGCGUUGUCCGGAAUUACUGGGCGUAAAGGGCUCGUAGGCGGCCAACUAAGUCGGAUGUGAAAUCCCCAGGCUUAACCUGGGAACUGCAUCCGAUACUGGAUGGCUUGAAUCCGGGAGAGGGAUGCGGAAUUCCAGGUGUAGCGGUGAAAUGCGUAGAUAUCUGGAGGAACACCCGUGGCGAAGGCGGCUCUCUGGGACGGUACUGACGCUGAGACACGAAAGCGUGGGUAGCAAACAGG
rnacentral:rRNA from 1 species